GACUGAGAUACGGCCCAGACUCCUACGGGAGGCAGCAGUAAGGAAUUUUCCACAAUGAGCGAAAGCUUGAUGGAGCGACACAGCGUGCAGGAUGAAGUUCUUCGGAAUGUAAACUGCUGUUAUAAGGGAAGAAAAAAUAGAAUAGGAAAUGAUUUUAUCUUGACGGUACCUUAUUAGAAAGCGACGGCAAACUAUGUGCCAGCAGCCGCGGUAAUACAUAGGUCGCAAGCGUUAUCCGGAAUUAUUGGGCGUAAAGCGUCCGUAGGUUUUUUGCUAAGUCUGGAGUUAAAUGCUGAAGCUCAACUUCAGUCCGCUUUGGAUACUGGCAAAAUAGAAUUAUAAAGAGGUUAGCGGAAUUCCUAGUGAAGCGGUGGAAUGCGUAGAUAUUAGGAAGAACACCAAUAGGCGAAGGCAGCUAACUGGUUAUAUAUUGACACUAAGGGACGAAAGCGUGGGGAGCAAACAGGAUUAGAUACCCUGGUAGUCCACGCCGUAAACGAUGAUCAUUAGUUGGUGGAAUAAUUUCACUAACGCAGCUAACGCGUUAAAUGAUCCGCCUGAGUAGUAUGCUCGCAAGAGUGAAACUUAAAGGAAUUGACGGGAACCCGCACAAGCGGUGGAGCAUGUGGUUUAAUUUGAAGAUACGCGUAGAACCUUACCCACUCUUGACAUCUUCUGCAAAGCUAUAGAGAUAUAGUGGAGGUUAACAGAAUGACAGAUGGUGCAUGGUUGUCGUCAGCUCGUGUCGUGAGAUGUUAGGUUAAGUCCUGCAACGAGCGCAACCCUUUUCUUUAGUUACUAAUAUUAAGUUAAGGACUCUAGAGAUACUGCCUGGGUAAC
rnacentral:rRNA from 1 species